rnacentral:misc_RNA from 1 species
CAGUGUUCCCUGCCCUCACGGGUAGGAUCGCCCACCCUUGAAUAUGAUGUUUGUUGCUUUGGCGGGCCUCGAGGUCUAGCCGCGCCUCCGCUUCGGUGGGGGAGCGCCCGCCAAAGGACCCCAAACCCUGAAUAUUAGUGUCGUCUGAGUCUAUAUAAUACUUA